GAUGAACGCUAGCGGCAGGCUUAACACAUGCAAGUCGAGGGGUAGAGGCUUUCGGGCCUUGAGACCGGCGCACGGGUGCGUAACGCGUAUGCAAUCUGCCUUGUACUGGGGGAUAGCCCAGAGAAAUUUGGAUUAAUACCCCAUAGUAUUUUCGGUUGGCAUCAACUGAUUAUUAAAGUUUUUCGGUACAAGAUGAGCAUGCGUCCCAUUAGCUAGUUGGUAUGGUAACGGCAUACCAAGGCUACGAUGGGUAGGGGUCCUGAGAGGGAGAUCCCCAACACUGGUACUGAGACACGGACCAGACUCCUACGGGAGGCAGCAGUGAGGAAUAUUGGUCAAUGGUCGCAAGACUGAACCAGCCAUGCCGCGUGCAGGAUGAAGCAUCUAUGGUGUGUAAACUGCUUUUGUACGGGAAGAAACACUGCUACGUGUAGCAGCUUGACGGUACCGUAAGAAUAAGGAUCGGCUAACUCCGUGCCAGCCGCCGCCGUAAUAC
rnacentral:rRNA from 1 species